rnacentral:rRNA from 3 species
GAACGGGUGAGUAACGUGGGCAAUCUGCCCUUCACUCUGGGACAACCCUGGAAACGGGUAAUACCGGAUAACACUCUGUCCUGGGGGGGGUUAAAAGUCCGGCGGUGAAGGAUGAGCCCGCGGCCUAUCAGCUUGUUGGUGGGGUAAUGGCCUACCAGGCGACGACGGGUAGCCGGCCUGAGAGGGCGACCGGCCACACUGGGACUGAGACACGGCCCAGACUCCUACGGGAGGCAGCAGUGGGGAAUAUUGCACAAUGGGCGAAAGCCUGAUGCAGCGACGCCGCGUGAGGGAUGACGGCCUUCGGGUUGUAAACCUCUUUCAGCAGGGAAGAAGGACGGUACCUGCAGAAGAAGCGCCGGCU